UCAAACUUGGUCAUUUAGAGGAAGUAAAAGUCGUAACAAGGUAUUCGUAGGUGAACCUGCGAAUGGAUCAUUAACACUUAUGAAACCAUUUAACUAACAACCUAAAUGUUGAUUGUAUCAACUGAGAACCCGGUGGGAGAAACCGAUUGCCAAUAGUCUUGGCAAUCGUUUCAUCUCCUAACUUUUAUAUUCAACUUCAAUCUUACAAACAACGAAACCAAUCAUCAGAUGAAAAUGUCUCGGUGCAGUUUCUAUUCUGAUUCUAACAACAAGGUACUUCAACCAGCGUCGUUUACGACGGCGGAUUGUUUUGGUACCACAUUAACGAAUUGAAUACAACUCGUUGCAAUGGAUAUCUUGGUUCUCGCAUCGAUGAAGAACGCAGC
rnacentral:misc_RNA from 1 species